UACGGAGGGUGCAAACGUUGCUCGGAAUCAUUGGGCGUAAAGCGCACGUAGGCGGUCUGUUAAGUCGGGUGUGAAAGCCCCGGGCUCAACCCGGGAAGUGCAUUCGAAACUGACGGACUCGAAUAUGGAAGAGGGUUGCGGAAUUCCCGGUGUAGAGGUGAAAUUCGUAGAUAUCGGGAGGAACACCAGUGGCGAAGGCGGCAACCUGGGCCAAUAUUGACGCUGAGGUGCGAAAGCGUGGGGAGCAAACAG
rnacentral:rRNA from 1 species